GGAUGUGAGGGCGAUCUGGCUGUGACAUCUGUCACCCCACUUCUUCUUCUAGCGUUUACCCUUCUUCCGUAGCCAGUCAACAGCGUCAGGUUGAGCCUGAUCGCCAGGGUUGAUUUGGCUGAUCUGGCUGGCUAGGCGGGUGUCCCCUUCUCCCACAAAGCUCCAUGCCCCUCCCAAAACUGCGCUCUUGGUGGAAGAGGACGGCUUUCCCCAGAUAGAGACAGACCUAUCUCCACCUUCGCUUGAGGGUAUACGAGUAGCUGCGCUCCCCUGCUAGAACCACCAGACAAGCUCUCAAGGUCCAUUUUUUAGGAGAAUGUAGGGUAACCAAGCUUCCAAGACUCUAUAGACACAUCCAAAUGAGGCGCUGUAUGUGGCAGUCUGCCUUUCUUU
rnacentral:snRNA from 1 species